GCCCGUCUGGCUCAGUCGGUAGAGCACGUGACUCUUGAUCUUGGGGUUGUAAGUUCAAGCCCCAUGUGGGGUA
rnacentral:tRNA from 1 species